GAGAAUCCAUCGGGUAGGGAUGUUGGGAAGGAGGGGAGAUGAGAGAAUAUGAAAGGGUCCAGUUGGGGAAAGGCUUUGGUGGCACUGACAUGGGAUGUCAUGGGAUGGGAGUCAAACAUCCUGGCUAGCGCCCUGGCCCUGAGGGCUGACUUGUUCGGGACCCCAGGGCCUGGGAUCUAAAACCAGGGGAAGGAUGGAAAUUUCCCAACAGUCAAAAAUAAAUCGAAAGCCUGCAGGCUGGAAGUGGAAACCUAUGACGCUGUGCUUACACUACUCCAGGAUCCAGGAAGGGCCAGAGCUGAACGGCGUGAAUUCAGUGCCAGUGAGCUGCUCACUCAUUCCUUCCACAGGCCUUGAGGAGCGUGACUGGCCCUGGUAGGGGACAGAGGAGAGGGUCACCGCCAUCAUCUUGCAGACAUACGCUCAUUACUUCCUCUUAUCUUCACCCCAGCCCUGAAAAUCCUGCCCUCAAGUGGCAGAUGAGGAACCUGAGGCUCAAAAAAAAGUAGUGGCCCAUCGGAGCUGAAGCUGAGACUUCGGAAUGUCAAAUUUGCCCUCACUCUGAAAGCUUUCUUAUGGGCCAGUCUGUAUGUGAAGGGGACCCACGGAGAAGUCAAAUCUGAGUCCUUAUCAUUGGGAAGUCCCCCAUCUGAUGGGGAAGGCAUAAAGCAAAUCAUUAGGCCCUGGA